rnacentral:lncRNA from 1 species
CAAGUAUUCCAGAGAAGGUACUCCCAUUAAUGGCCACCCAAUCAAGGACCAGUGCAGGUAGUGACUGUUAGUUCUAUUAUCUCAUUUAGAGGUAACUUUUUCUUUUAGUUUGUGUUGUACUGUUUUAACUGUUACUGUUAAUAUACAGUCGAAGGACUAAUCGGAUUACUUAAAUCUGAGUUCACAUAACUUAGGCAAACUUCAUGAACAGAAGAUUAUGGUUUAAUUUCUGCAACAAGUUGCAAGUCUUAGUGUCACCGUCACUCAAACGUUCUUUUUGAACUGUUUGCUCAGAGGUGAUAUUUUAGGGAUUAGAAAGCUAUAUACUGACAUUAAAUAGUUUUACAUAGCCCACCAUCAAAAGAAGAUUUAUUUGAAAAGAAAAUGAAGAACUCUGGGGAAAGAUCAGGAAAAUAUUUACAGAACAAUAGAGUAUGUAACCCAUCAGAAGCUAUUUUCUCUCCAGAGUUUGUUCACCCGUUAAUCCACGUGUUAAGUUUCAGUGCCAGUUUUUCUUCAUUCUUCACCUGCAGCUUGAACUCCUUAGGCUUCAGGCUUGGAGACACUGUUGUAUUCCUUGAAAAUCUAUAAAAAUAACAUGCAUGACCUUUCAACUUUAGCUUGCUUUGGCUGAAAUUAAAAUUUGAGCCUCCAAGGUAGGAGUGCCAGGUGGUUAAAGUGCAUGUUUGGCCGCCUUUAUUUUAAAUGGGAAGUUUUUGACUUUGAAGUACAGAUGUGUUCCAGUGGAUAGUUAAUUGUCAAAAGUAAAGACUAUAGGGGAGCUUAAUUGUUGAACUGUAAGAAGAUGGUGGAAAGACUGAAACGUGGGCCCUAGUGUUAUAAUGGGUUUUGGCAGUAAAUGUCUUACCCUAAACAACCUUUAGAAGAGAGGCAUUUCACUUGCAAUAGACGCUCACUUUGUGAAGAAGAUGCUGAGAGUAUCAUUCCUUUGUUCCUCCGCUAUAAUGUUUCUAGUUAAAUCUGAUAUUUCUUCUUUAAUUCCUUGAGCAUCCGAGAGGUUUCUCCUUGCACUUCGCUGGACUUUCUGUUAGCAAGGAAAAAGCGGGCAUGUCUAAAGCGUCCUACAAAAAUUUGGAAGACUAUCCCAGCAAGGAAGAAAAUGCUAAAAUCUUUGUUUACAUAAGUCAACAUAGAUUAGGAAUGAUGAAAGUAGCAGAAAUGAGGAUGUUGAGGUGGAUGUGCGGGCACACUAGGAUGGAUAAGAUUAGAAAUGAUGAUAUUUGGGAGAAGGUGCACGUGGCUCCCAUUGAAGACGAGAUGCGGGAAGCGAGGCUCAAAUGGUUCGGGCAUGUACAAAGGAGAAGCCCAGAUGCUCCAGUAAGGAGGUGUGAGCGGCUGGUUGUGGAAGACAUGAGAAGAGGUAGAGGGCGGCCUAAGAAGUAUUGGGGAGAGGUGAUUAGGCAGGAUAUGGCGAGACUUCAGAUUUUCGAGGACAUGGCACUUGAUAGGAUGUUGUGGAGGUCGAGUAUUAUGGUUAUAGGCUAGGAGAUAGUUGAGUCUUGCGUUACUUUGUACCUUUGUGAGCCUAGUCCGGUAGGGUUUUGUCUAAGAGAGCUAGGGGCAAUGCCGUGCCUUACUGCUUUCUUUUUUGAUGUUGGAUUCAUUUACUAGCCACCGUUUUUGCUUUGCAUUUUUCUUCUGCAUUUUAUGUUCCUAUUUUUCCUAUGAUCUAAUAUCCUCUCCUUUUGUCUUCUUUUUAUUAUCUUGAGCCGAGGGUCUUUCGGAAACAACCUCUCUCUACCGCUUCGGGGUAGGGAUAAGGUCUGCGUGCACACUACCAUCCCAGACAUUAGUACAUUACUUGUGAAAUUUUACUGGAUUGUUGUUGUUGUUUGUUGACAUAAGUGUUAAUAUUCUUAAUCUUAAACACAGAUGUGUAUGUUUGCUUAACUUUUGGUGCAACAAGCACCAUGCUGAGGUCAAUGAGUCUACUGCCAUUAUAGAUUUUCUUAGCUUUCUACCCUCUCUGUACAGUCACUUUUUUGGAUGUACUUUCUCCAACCUUUGCUGGUGUAUCAGUAAUAUACUUACUUUUUGGAUCCCAAGAAAAUAGUUUUGGGGUUUGGCUUACUUUUUGAGUAGGGGAACUAAUCAUUUCAUUGCCUGAAGGCUAUGAGGAGCUUAGAUACAGAACCUUUACGGAAUAUGAUUAAUAAACUGAAACCCAUGGAGCCCGCAGUGAUCUAGUUUGAAUGAGAUGGCAACUCCCUUUAAAUUGGAACUAGGGAGGGGGCCUACUAUGAGAUUGGUGAUCCCUUUGGAAUCGGACAGUGUUCUUGUGUUCAAUGUUCUAUUUUUCGUUUAUGCAUAGAGCUGUUCAAUAGACACACCCCAAAAAAAAAGAGAUUGUUUGCAAUCGUGAAAAAGUCACAUUUGCUUUUGCUCAAAUACAAGUGCCCCUUUAAAUUUUUGCUAUGCUAGUCAGCAUCUUUUAGUGAGAUCAUUGGUUUCCUGGUUUUACAGGACGGUGUUUGUCCGUUUGGAUAUUGAACCCACGGCUGCCUUUUUUUUUUGUUUAAAAUUUUUAAUUGUGUAUAAAAGUUUUAUAUGUAAUCGUUGUUGUAGUGUGACAGAGGUGUUAACUUCUGCUUUACCUUGCAGAUUUACUAUGGGAGAGUGGCACACACACAUCAAAUUUAGCGAGGAAAGGUGAAGCUCUUGCUGUAUCAGGUGUUGUGGAGUAUGGAGAUGAGGUCGAUGUCAUUGCCCCAACUGAUAUUUUGAAGCAAAUCUUUAAGAUUCCAUACUCCAAGGCUCGAUUAUCAGUUGCAGUACAUCGUGUUGGCCAGACUCUAGUUUUAAAUACGGGGUAAUGUGCUCUUCUUACAUGCAAGAUCUUUUCUGAAUUUCAAUCCAGUUGCCCCUCCAUUAGUUGAAGUUCUGAGUAGUAAUUCUUCAGUUAUGGCUCUACCCUGUUGAAUUGUAAUAUUUUGCUUUUUGACCCUCACUUUCUGACCCUUGGGGUGAAAUUAGACAAGCAUGAAUCUGUCUUUUGAAAAUAAGCUUAGAGAUGUAAAAGUUUCAUAAGAAGUACUAUAAGUUGGUUUUAUCCCCUUUUUAAAAAUUCUUAGAAAAUUAUUCUUAAUAUUUAGUCCAAUUUUGAUGUAAUUGAUUCUUGGAAGCAAAAGUGGCAGUUCUCCUUGGGACAAAGGAUGUAACUUCUUACUAUUAACAAAAAAUUGCUGGGAAUCAACCGAAUUUCCAGGGCCCAAUAUUGACAUUGUUGAUGCGCAUAAUCUUUAAACUAUUCUGUUAUGAAGCUAAUUGUGAUAGAUGAUGUUGUUUAGACUAUAGAAAGAUCUAGUUUUCUCUUAUAUGAAACCCGUGUAUCUUGCCACAUGAAACAUGGUUUGGAACUACAUGGACAGUAAGGAGUAGAUAUUCAUUAGUAUAGAUGAAUCUUAGGGCCAAACUGAUUGAGCUGAGGAAGAGGUAACACUAUGGACCAAGCAUUCUGCUCAAAAAGAGGACACUGAAGAUUAAGAGUGUGAUGUUGAAAGUAACCCAUCAGUUAAUUAUUUGAAUUUGCAUAAAUAGUUUUUUCGUUAAGCUUUCA